rnacentral:rRNA from 1 species
UGGCUCAGGAUGAACGCUAGCGGCAGGCUUAACACGAUGCAAGGUCGAGGGGCAUCGGGAGUAGCAAUACUGCCGGCGACCGGCGCAAGGGUGCGUAACGCGUGAGCAACAUGCCCGUAUCAGGGGGGAUAAUCCAUGGAAACGUGGUCUAAUACCCCAUAGUAAUUAUGUAAGGCAUCUUAUAUAAUUUAAAGCUUUGGUGGAUACGGAUUGGCUCGCGUGACAUUAGCUGGAUGGUAAGGUAACGGCUUACCAUGGCUACGAUGUCUAGGGGUUCUGAGAGGAAGGUCCCCCCACACUGGAACUGAGACACGGUCCAGACUCCUACGGGAGGCAGCAGUGAGGAAUAUUGGACAAUGGAUGGAAAUCUGAUCCAGCCAUGCCGCGUGCAGGAAGAACCGGCCCUAUGGGUUGUAAACUGCUUUUGUAUGGGAGCAAUAAGGGCUACGUGUAGUCCGAUGAGAGUACCAUACGAAUAAGCACCGGCUAACUCCGUGCCAGCAGCAGC